rnacentral:rRNA from 1 species
UGUGGCUCGGGAAUGGGCAUGAGCUAUGUGCGCAGAAUUCUUCGCGCUCACGGUGGAGAUAUCAGUUGUGAGGCAAGCGAUUCCGGUGCGUGUUUUGUGCUGACAUUUCCGCGUUGGGCUGAUCCGGAGUCAACAGCAGUCAGUGUGGAUGGCAUCAAUGAGGGUUCGCUAUGACAACACAAAAAAAGGCCGGCGAUCUGUUCUGUGUGCUGCUGGUCGAGGAUGAUCCCGUCCUGAAUUCAUAGGGGCGUGGAAGCGAACCCGGGGAAUUGAAACAUCUCAGUACCCGGAGGAAAGGACAUCAACCGAGACUCCGUUAGUAGUGGCGAGCGAAAGCGGACCAGGCCAGUGGUUUUUGCGUAAGAACCGGAACGCUCUGGAAAGGGCGGCUAUAGAGGGUGACAGCCCCGUACGGGUAGAAAGCGCAAGAAUCCUUGAGUAAGGCGGGACACGUGCAAUCCUGUCUGAAGAUGGGGGGACCACCCUCCAAGCCUAAGUACUCCUUACCGACCGAUAGCGAACAAGUACCGUGAGGGAAAGGUGAAAAGCACCCCGAUGAGGGGAGUGAAAGAGACCUGAAACCGGAUGCCUACAAGCAGUGGGAGCGGAACGUGCGGUUCGCCGUGCGGAUCCGUGACUGCGUACCUUUUGUAUAAUGGGUCAGCGAGUUAGUUUCAGUGGCGAGCUUAAGCCGAUAGGCGUAGGCGCAGCGAAAGCGAGUCUGAAUAGGGCGAACAGUCACUGGGAUUAGACCCGAAGCCGGUCGAUCUAGCCAUGGGCAGGUUGAAGGUGCGGUAACACGCACUGGAGGACCGAACCCACUCCUGUUGAAAAAGUAGGGGAUGACCUGUGGCUAGGGGUGAAAGGCCAAUCAAGGCCGGCAAUAGCUGGUUCUCCGCGAAAUCUAUUGAGGUAGAGCGUCGAUCGAUUACCCUCGGGGGUAGAGCACUGGAUGGGCUAGGGGGGCGCAAGCCUUACCAAACCUAACCAAACUCCGAAUACCGAGGAGUACAGAUCGGCAGGCAGGCGGCGGGUGCUAAGGUCCGUCGCCGAGAGGGAAAGAGCCCAGACCGUCAUCUAAGGUCCCCAAGUCCUGGCUAAGUGGUAAAGGAUGUGGGACGGCUUAGACAACCAGGAGGUUGGCUUAGAAGCAGCCAUCCUUUAAAGAAAGCGUAAUAGCUCACUGGUCAAGCUGUCCUGCGCCGAAAAUGUAACGGGGCUUAAGCCAGGCACCGAAGAUACGGGUGUGCGCAAGCACGCGGUAGCGGAGCGUUCCGUAAGCCUGUGAAGGCGAACCGUCAGGUUCGCUGGAGGUAUCGGAAGUGAGAAUGCUGACAUGAGUAACGAUAAACAGGGCGAGAAACCCUGUCGCCGAAAACCCAAGGGUUCCUGCGCAAGGUUAAUCCGCGCAGGGUAAGCCGGUCCCUAAGGCGAGGCCGAAAGGCGUAGUCGAUGGAAACCAGGUUAAUAUUCCUGGGCCUGCUGGGUGUUGACGGAGAUGGAAGUUCGUUCGCGGUUAUUGGAUUCCGCGGGCGGACCAAGUCUUCCAGGAAAUAGCCCCAGCGUAUAGGCCGUACCCGAAACCGACACAGGUGGGUUGGUUGAAUAUACCAAGGCGCUUGAGAGAACGGUGUCGAAGGAACUAGGCAAAUUGCCCUCGUAACUUCGGGAGAAGAGGGACCCGGCUUAGCGCAAGCUUUGUCGGGUGGCACAGAAAUGGGGGUAGCGACUGUUUACUUAAAACACAGGGCUCUGCGAACUCGUAAGAGGACGUAUAGGGUCUGACGCCUGCCCGGUGCCGGAAGGUUAAGAGGAGAGCUGCAAGGCUUGAAUCGAAGCCCCGGUAAACGGCGGCCGUAACUAUAACGGUCCUAAGGUAGCGAAAUUCCUUGUCGGGUAAGUUC